rnacentral:rRNA from 1 species
AUUGAACGCUGGCGGCAGGCCUAACACAUGCAAGUCGAGCGGCAGCGACAUGAUAGAAGCUUCGGUGGAAAUUAUGGGCGGCGAGCGGCGGACGGGUGAGUAAUGCCUGGGAAUAUGCCCUGAUGUGGGGGAUAACCAUUGGAAACGAUGGCUAAUACCGCAUAAUCUCUUCGGAGCAAAGAGGGGGACCUUCGGGCCUCUCGCGUCAGGAUUAGCCCAGGUGGGAUUAGCUAGUUGGUGAGGUAAAGGCUCACCAAGGCGACGAUCCCUAGCUGGUCUGAGAGGAUGAUCAGCCACACUGGAACUGAGACACGGUCCAGACUCCUACGGGAGGCAGCAGUGGGGAAUAUUGCACAAUGGGGGAAACCCUGAUGCAGCCAUGCCGCGUGUAUGAAGAAGGCCUUCGGGUUGUAAAGUACUUUCAGCAGUGAGGAAGGUGGUGUCGUUAAUAGCGG